rnacentral:misc_RNA from 1 species
GAAAUGCGAUAAGUAAUGUGAAUUGCAGAAUUCAGUGAAUCAUCGAAUCUUUGAACGCACAUUGCGCCCGCCAGCACUCUGGCGGGCAUGCCUGUUCGAGCGUCAUUUCAACCCUCAAGCCCCCGGGUUUGGUGUUGGGGAUCGGGCUGCGGUUCUACCGCGUCCCGGCCCCGAAAUCUAGUGGCGGUCUCGCUGCAGCCUCCAUUGCGUAGUAGCUAACACCUCGCAACUGGAACGCGGCGCGGCCAAGCCGUUAAACCCCCAACUUCUGAAUGUUGACCUCGGAUCAGGUAGGAAUACCCGCUGAACUUAAGC